UGAAUUGAUAAGAGAUCCAAUCGAAUAAGUUUGGGCUAUGAAAGGGAUAAUUAAAUAAUCAAAGUUAGAUAUGCUUGAUUCUGCCUUACUACUCAAUUCUAUGGGAAAAUGACUGUCAUAUCCUUACAUGUUCAUACCAUUAAAAACGAUACAUUUUGCUUCUGGUUAGUUUUAUGUGCUUUCGCAUUCCAUUCUUGCCAUUACUACGAAAAACAAACCAGAAAAACUAGCGAAGACGAAGAAGGAAAUUUUUUUAAACGGAGCAAUUCAGGUCUUCAAAAAGAGUAAAUACAUCAAACCCAAUGUUUAUUUAUCUUCAUUUUGCUUAUAUUAGAUGGUUAAUUGGAUUAAUUUGUUACAUGCAAUAGAAAUUGAGUUUAGGGUUCUUCGAAUUGGGGGUUUUACUGAUAUGUGUUUUUUGAUUUUUGGUUCCGAUCUUGUUUUGUGGUAUCUUGGCGGUUGUUCUUUGUUUCUAUGGUGGUUGCACUUCGACUUUUGCAUCUGACCAUCGAAUGAUGGUGAGAAAGUACUGGUUUCCUUUUGUUGUUUAUUAUUUUGAAGCUAAGAAUAUUAUUUCCGUAUAAUUUUGAUUUCUGAUCUUCAAAAAUCAAUUCAAGUAAUAAUAUUCUUAGCUUCAAUUGUACUCUUAAUGGGUUGAUCUGUAUUGCUUCAAAUUGGAAUUAGCUUAUUUGGUUUGGUUCCUGAUCGGAUCUAGCUGUCAUGCAUCAUGAUGAAUGGUGAUUUUGAAAUUGGGUAUUUGAUGUUGUACAUCUGAUUGAUGUUAAGGAGUAGAAAAAAGAAGAACUUUUUAAGUGUAAUUGGUUUUGAGUAAUGGGGUUGCGAGAUGAUGAAGCCUUAGAAAGGAGAAGUAGUACCGAUGGAAGGUAAUGGGUUUAAUGUAAAAGAAAUUGUCUAUGGUGGUGGAGGUGGAAGUGGAUAUGGUGGUGCUGGGUAUGGAAGUGAUUCAUAUGGUGGUAGUUCUGGUUAUUAUGCUGCACCUGCAACUUCUUAUGCUUAUAGUUAUGGGUAGCAGGAAUUUGUUGUCCCAAGUGGUUGGGAUUAAAGAACUGUUCAUGAUCUCUUGCUAGUUACCACUUAACUACAUAACCGAAAGAAGACAUCGGCAAUUGGUGAUGAUGAUCUUCAUUACUCUAUUUGAGUUGGUGCAUUUUCCAAAGCUCAUGUUUGUGCAUUUCUCAAUCAAAAAUUGAAGCAUUGGACAUUCAAUGGAGAUCGAAAAAGAUCUACAUCUCAUUUUUGGACAUUCAAUGGACAGCAUUGGACAUACAAAGAUCUACAUCUCUACCAAAAAUGGGAGGUAUAACAACACUAUUAUUUACUAUUUAAAAAAUGAGUCGUCGAAAACCAACUGAUUUUCAACCGUUAAAAUUAAGAUUAGUAGAUAAUGAAGUUUGGUAUUAUGCACUCCUUUUUGGUAGGCAUGUUGAUUUUUGUAAGAGAAACAUAUCCCUAAAAUAUUAGCUUCAAAUCAGUUAUCGUUUAGUUUAUUUUAAAAAAAUAUCCUUCAAAGUGUGAGAUCAUGUGAGGGGCCUCCCUCUUAUUUGUAUACUUGUAAAACCGCAUACAGUGAAAUCAUUGUUGGAUGUAAAUCGUUCUUUAGAUUCAAAUUGUAUUAGAGAGAAAAGUUUAAAUUGUAUUA